GUAGGAGCCAAGCGUUAUCCGAAUUCACUGGGCGUAAAGCGCGUGCAGGCGGCCUGAUAAGUUGGAUGUGAAAUCUCCUGGCUCAACUGGGAGAGGCCGUUCAAGACUGUCGGGCUCGAGGGCGACAGAGGGAGGUGGAAUUCCGGGUGUAGUGGUGAAAUGCGUAGAUAUCCGGAGGAACACCAGAGGCGAAGGCGACCUCCUGGGUCGUACCUGACGCUCAGAUGCGAAAGCUAGGGGAGCGAACGGGAUUAGAAACCCCGGUAGUCCUAGCCGUAAACGAUGUAGACUGGGUGUCGGCGGGGUAAAAGCCGUCGGCGCCGAAGCCAACGCGAUAAGUCUACCGCCUGGGGACUACGGCCGCAAGGUUAAA
rnacentral:rRNA from 1 species